AUCCAGCUGACGAGUCCUAAAUAGGACUAAAGGCCCGUUCUCGAU
rfam:Schistosoma mattheei strain Denwood, Zambia genome assembly, scaffold: SMTD_scaffold0011417